rnacentral:rRNA from 1 species
GACGAACGCUGGCGGUGUGCUUAACACAUGCAAGUCGAACGGUAAGGCCCUUUCGGGGGUCCACGAGUGGCGAACGGGUGAGUAACACGUGAGUAACCUGCCCUCAUCUCUGGGAUAACAGUCGGAAACGGUUGCUAGUACUGGAUAUGAGCUUGCAAGGCAUCUUGUGGGUUGGAAAGAUUUUUUUUGGUUGGGGAUGGACUCGCGGCCUAUCAGCUUGUUGGUGAGGUAGUGGCUCACCAAGGCUUCGACGGGUAGCCGGCCUGAGAGGGCGACCGGCCACAUUGGGACUGAGAUACGGCCCAAACUCCUACGGGAGGCAGCAGUGGGGAAUAUUGCACAAUGGACGGAAGUCUGAUGCAGCAACGCCGCGUGCGGGAUGACGGCCUUCGGGUUGUAAACCGCUUUCAAUUGUGACGAAGCUUUUUUGUGACGGUAGCAGUAGAAGAAGCACCGGCUAACUACGUG